UACGAAGGGUGCAAACGUUGCUCGGAAUUAUUGGGCGUAAAGCGCACGUAGGCGGCUUAGCAAGUCGGAUGUGAAAGCCUUCGGCUUAACCGAAGAAGUGCAUCCGAAACUGCAAAGCUUGAGUACUUAAGAGGAUCGCGGAAUUCCCGGUGUAGAGGUGAAAGUCGUAGAUAGCGGGAGGAACACCAGUGGCGAAGGCGGCGAUCUGGGAAGAUACUGACGCUGAGGUGCGAAAGCGUGGGGAGCAAACAGG
rnacentral:rRNA from 1 species